rnacentral:rRNA from 1 species
AGUGAACGCUGGCGGUAGGCCUAACACAUGCAAGUCGAACGGCAGCACAGGAGAGCUUGCUCUCUGGGUGGCGAGUGGCGGACGGGUGAGGAAUACAUCGGAAUCUACUCUGUCGUGGGGGAUAACGUAGGGAAACUUACGCUAAUACCGCAUACGACCUACGGGUGAAAGCAGGGGAUCUUCGGACCUUGCGCGAUUGAAUGAGCCGAUGUCGGAUUAGCUAGUUGGCGGGGUAAAGGCCCACCAAGGCGACGAUCCGUAGCUGGUCUGAGAGGAUGAUCAGCCACACUGGAACUGAGACACGGUCCAGACUCCUACGGGAGGCAGCAGUGGGGAAUAUUGGACAAUGGGCGCAAGCCUGAUCCAGCCAUACCGCGUGGGUGAAGAAGGCCUUCGGGUUGUAAAGCCCUUUUGUUGGGAAAGAAAUCCAGCUGGCUAAUACCCGGUUGGGAUGACGGUACCCAAAGAAUAAGCACCGGCUAACUUCGUGCCAGCAGCCGCAGUAA